GUGCAAAUCUCAUCACCACAGGCUGCCAAACGUGUGGGCUGGCUUUGCUGGUGUUGGCUUCUCUGAUUUGGAAGCAUCCCCACGUGGAAGAUAGCACUGUGGGCCUUGUUGAUCGGAUACACCAAACACACUGUGUGCAACACAUAAAAGACAAUUGUAUAUGACUCAUAGAAAUGUCUACGGCAACUCCUGCCUGGAAAUGCGCUUUGGCUUACGCAUCCCUCUUGAUGCAGAGUUCCCCAGCAGCCUUGCAGAACAGUUUGACAGUGAUUACUUUGGUAACACCACUUCCCACGGCCCAAGCAGCUUUGGGCAGCUUGUCUUAGUGUUACCUUUGUGCUCAGUGCUCUUAACAAUUACAGUGUACGUCCCUAACAAUCCCACUUCAGAACAACUUUCCUUCUCUCCUGCUGGAGUGAUUGAAAGGGUGAAGUGAAUAGAAUAGAACAAGGAUUUAUGUUUCUGAAGUUUGUUCAAAAUAAAGUCCUGAAGACAAACUAAAGUGCA
rnacentral:lncRNA from 1 species